GGCGCGUCAUCCAUACGUAAUCCAUUCCAAACCUGCCUGGCAACAGAUGAUCGCGUCGUCCGUUGCCUGGCAACGGACGAUCGCGUCGAAUGACGUGAAGGUUCACGGACAUUCGCAAACCUUCUAUCUAGCGAUCCGUUAUCUGUAUUGUGCUAUUUCGUCCUUGACCUGCUUUAAACACUCAGUUUACUUGCUAAAUUUGAUUAAACAAUUAAAUACAAUGCAAAUAUAAAGUAAAAACAAGUGUUAUCUAGCGAUCCGUUUUCUGUAUUAUGUUAUUUCCUCUUUGGCAACAUGAGCGCGAAUGUUUUUUGAAACCCGCUCUAAACACUCAGUUUACUAGUUAAAUUUGAUUAAACAAUUGAAUACAAUACAAAUAUAAAGUAAAAACCAGAGUUAUCUAUCGAUCCGUUAACUGUAUUAUGUUAUUUCGUCUUUGGCAACAUGAGCGCGAAUGUUUUUUGAAACCUGCCCGGCAACGGACGACGCGAUCAUCUGCUGCCAGGCAGGUUUGGAAUGGAUUACGUAUGGAUGACGCGCCCGGUACAAAUUUGGCAGCCGGUACAAAUUUGGCAUGACACCGCCAAUGAGACACGACUGUUCAAGCGCCACAUGUGUGUGUGUGUGAAUACAUACACUGUAACGCAAGUGUUUCUCGUCGGUUCUUUGACGUGUCUUGUAUUUCCACAACGAGACUGUUGUGGGGGUUAUCUGAGCCAAUGGUUGAGAAGGAAUCCGGGGAAAGGAACUUUGGCUUUGACUCGCUGAAGUACAUGAACUGCGUCAUGCCGCCGGUUGCCGUGAGGCACCAUCGCCCGGCAGCGGGCAGCCGGCAGCAGGCAGCCGGCAGCAGGCAGCGCGCGGUUCAGUCGACUUCAGGUUGAUGUGAAAGUGGAAGAACCAGAGACGUCGCAGAACCCGACAAAGUCGUUUGUGAUUCAUAAUAUCGUCUGGAGGCGCAGACAAUAUGUUAUAUGAUAUAGAUAUCUAUGUAUUAUAUGAUAUUAUUUAGAUAUAGAGCUCCAGGACUGUAACGCAAGUGUUGUACACUUCCUUGUUAUUUGGAUAACCGUUUUAUUUAUUUUUUUUUGCUUUUGGUGUUAUGGCGCAUAACACGUCGGACUCUCGUCUCUGGUAUUUCUACAAGGAGACUCGUAGUGGGGGUUAUCUCAGCCAAGGUUGAGAAUGAAUUGGGGGGAAGGAACUUUGGCUUUGACUCCCUCAAGAACAUGAACCACGACAUGGAGGAGAAAGGGAUUGUUGGCGGCGAAUGUCUCCAGCUUGAGCCCCGCUGAGGGACCACCGCCGGAGGCGGAGGUGCCUAAGCGCUGCCCGGCAAAGAUCCCUUUCUCCUCCUUGUCGCGGUUCAGUCUACUUCACAUUGAUGAGGACGUUGAAGAACCAGGAACGUCGGAGAACCCAACGCGGUCAUUUGUGAUUCAUAAUAUCGGCUCACACAGCCUUUGGCCGUGAUAAUAUAUAUUAUAUGAUAUAGAUAUCUAUGUAGGCUAUAUGAUAAUAUUUAGAUAUAGAGCUCCAGGACUCCCGUUUGUUCGAGAAUAUUUAUAGAACACGGCUAAUGGCUGUGUGCGCCUCGCCAUUGCGAUACAUCCACUGUAAACAGAGCGCAUGGUACCGUGGCUGCAAGCUGCUCAGGGCCACACCCCCACCCUCCUCCCUGACCCGCCUCGCUCCUCCUCAUUUGCAUUAAAGCUACAGACCCCAAAACAGCGCAUUUGGGGGAAGCUCAAUGUGCGACUGGCUCGGAGUGGCUGAAUUUCGGGAACGUCUUUGAGUACUGUGUUAGUUGCCCACUAAUACCUAUAUUAAAGAAUACAUAAAAUAGCAUGUUAUGGGACCUUUAGGAAUUAGGCCUGGGCAAUAUAUGGUGUACUGGUGUGGCUUUUAUUUGCCUGUUUUUAAGAUACAUACCAUAGUCAUAAUGUUAUGUUAGUUUUUUUAUAAUCAGAAUUAGAUAUUGUUUAAAGGUCAUUAAUGCUUGACAAUAUAUAUAACUUCCAUUCAGUCAAUUUCUCCAAAUCGGCGUCCAGUGAACUCAGACACAGGUAGAUACAGGUCAUUAGGAGCAGGUAGGGGUCAGGCAUCUAGCUCAAGAACCUUCCUGAAGGCCUACAGGAAGGUUGUGGACAUUGGGGAUCGAACCCAGUACCUUUUAAACCUGGAGUCCAACACCCAGUCUACUACUCUUAGAACUAAACGUGGUUUUGUCCUUCUGGUUUCAGAUGUGAUUCUGUGGGAGGGGUGCAGAUACAACCAGGAACUGAUUCAACUGAUUCUACAUGUUUUAAAUAUGUGGCAAUUGCGUUCAUAAUAAUAGGAUGCAUAUUGCUUAUAUCAAUCAUCGUCCUGGGAGCAUGGGUUUACAGAAGACGUAAAAUGGAAAAGGAAAAGCAGGGGUGGUGGUUUCAUGUGACUAGACCACUAAUGUCCACUGACGGUCCUGAACCAACCAGGGACCAACAAGAGCAUACCAUAACGAUCUCUUCUGCCACUAUGGAUGAUCAAGACGAUGACCAGAGUCUGGGUCCAGCCCCUCCCUCAAGCUCCACACAUAAUGUAUCUGUGUCAGUCUCAGUCCAUCAGAAGGACCAUCAGCCUGUCCUCAUCAAGAGAGACCAUGGAGCCUC